rnacentral:rRNA from 1 species
CCUACGGGAGGCAGCAGUGAGGCAUAUUGGUCAAUGGACGCAAGUCUGAACCAGCCAUGCCGCGUGCAGGAAGACGGCUCUAUGAGUUGUAAACUGCUUUUGUACGAGAGUAAACGCAGAUACGCGUAUCUGUCUGAAAGUAUUGUACGAAUAAGGAUCGGCUAACUCCGUGCCAGCCGCCGCGGUAAUACGGAGGAUUCAAGCGUUAUCCGGAUUUAUUGGGUUUAAAGGGUGCGUAGGUGGGCGGAUAAGUUAGUGGUGAAAUCCUGAGGCUCAACUUCGGAAUUGCAUCUGAUACUGGUAGGCUAGAGAGCAGUUGCGGUAGGCGGAAUGUAUGGUGUAGCGGUGAAAUGCUUAGAGAUCAGAAAGAACACCGAUUGCGAAGGCAGCUUACCAAGCUACUUCUGACGUUGAGGCACGAAAGUGUGGGGAGCAAACAGGAGUAGAUACCCCAGUAGUC